rnacentral:rRNA from 1 species
UACGGGGGGGGCAAGCGUUGUUCGGAAUUACUGGGCGUAAAGGGCUCGUAGGCGGCCAACUAAGUCGGAUGUGAAAUCCCCAGGCUUAACCUGGGAACUGCAUCCGAUACUGGAUGGCUUGAAUUCGGGAGAGGGAUGCAGAAUUCCAGGUGUAGCGGUGGAAUGCGUAGAUAUCGGGAAGAACACCGGUGGCGAAGGCGGCUCGCUGGGCCGUUGCUGACGCUGAGGCGCGAAAGCGUGGGGAGCAAACAGG